GGCACCUAGAGAACAGCCUGGAAUGACCCAGGCGCGCGGGAGGGGAGGCGCACCUGGACGUUUGGGAGGGUAAACUCGCGGGGGCUGACAGGUGGGCUUUCCUGACUAUGUUACAUCCAUCACAUCUCGGUUGAAGGCGAGAUUCACCAAAGGCUGAAAGGGGCCGGGAGGCGGAGCGGUUACUUCGGCCUCGAGGGCGCUACGGGAGGAGGCCGCGUCCUCCACCCUCCGGGGAACGCGCCACCGAGUCGCCCCUGUAGCCUCCCAAGUUCUGCCGUCACCGCUGCAGCUCAUUCCUUCCCACCUCGAGGUCUCCGUCUUCACCCGCAAAGAAACUACCGGUGACAGUUCUACGGCUGGAAACCCAGUUUUGAAUUCUUGACAUUGGCACCUCCCAGUACCCAUACUUUGUCAGAAGUCAAGACUAUCUAAGAACCAGGCUGCUGAAGCUGAGAUUCUCAUCUGAUUGUCAGCCACAGAAGGUGUGAUAGAGUGAAAUAUCCAGGAUUUCCAGACAAGAGACCUAGUUCUGAAUCCUGGCAACUAACACUUAUUAAAUCUGUACCUUGGAGGCAAGAGGAAGUACAAUGUGUGUGAUCUGAAAUCCCUUCAAAUGAAAGUUAGAGAAAGAUUGACUUCCAGCCUCCAGAACUGUGAGAGAAGAAAUUUCUGCUGUUGAAAGCUACCCAGUUUGUGGUGCUUUGUUAUGGUGGCCGGACAGGAAACCAGUACAGAAGGAACCCAGGAAGAGAAGAGGUUCAGGGGGCGUAGCAGUGCGGGGUGGCGCGGCCUAGAAGAGGAACCCGCAUUUUGUGCAUGACUCCCAUCUGCUGGUGAUCCCAGAACUGUCUGUGGAGCCGAAGGGGCCUGUGAAAACACCCCAACAGUCCCACUGCUGCCUUCCAUAUUUGGAAUGAAGAGGUUGAGCAUUACCAUCUAACAUGGAGCUUCUUCUCCCGAUGAGGCAGAGAUUGAAAUGUCACAGCAGCAUGAUCAAUUAGAUGAUGUAGAAGGGAGGCAUUUGCUACCUGACCUUAAUCCACAGGGCAAGAGUGAGUGAAUGGAGAAGACCAAAUACAGAGAGACUCCACGCCAGAGGAAAGUAGCAGAGUGGAGUUUAAACAGGCACAAAGCAGCAUAAAUAUUGACUUAUGACGAAAAGGACAUCCUCCGGAUAAAGGCUUAGUAUGAUGGGAUCCCUGGGUGGCGCAGCGGUUUGGCGCCUGCCUUUGGCCCAGGGCGCGAUCCUGGAGACCCGGGAUUGAAUCCCACGUCGGGCUCCCGGUGCAUGGAGCCUGCUUCUCCCUCUG